CCUACGGGAGGCAGCAGUGGGGAAUAUUGGACAAUGGGCGAAAGCCUGAUCCAGCAAUGCCGCGUGAGUGAUGAAGGCCUUAGGGUUGUAAAGCUCUUUUACCCGGGAUGAUAAUGACAGUACCGGGAGAAUAAGCCCCGGCUAACUCCGUGCCAGCAGCCGCGGUAAUACGGAGGGGGCUAGCGUUGUUCGGAAUUACUGGGCGUAAAGCGCACGUAGGCGGUUAUUCAAGUCAGAGGUGAAAGCCUGGAGCUCGAACUCCAGAACUGCCUUUGAAACUAGAUAACUAGAAUCAUGGAGAGGUGAGUGGAAUUCCGAGUGUAGAGGUGAAAUUCGUAGAUAUUCGGAAGAACACCAGUGGCGAAGGCGGCUCACUGGACAUGUAUUGACGCUGAGGUGCGAAAGCGUGGGGAGCAAACAGGAUUAGAUACCCUAGGUAGUCCACGCCGUAAACGAUGAUAACUAGUUGUCGGGGCUCUUAGAGCUUCGGUGACGCAGCUAACGCAUUAAGUUAUCCGCCUGGGGAGUACGGUCGCAAGGAAUUAAACGACAAAUGAAUUGACGG
rnacentral:rRNA from 1 species